UGAGAAACCUAUCCCAGUCUCUGGAAUAACAGGUGGAAACACCUGCUAAUACCGGAUGCCGUUGGAACACCGCAUGGUGAACCAACGAAAGAUUUAUCGGAGUGGAGGGUCUCGCGGCCUAUCAGCUUGUUGGCGGGUAAUGGCCCACCAAGGCUUCGACGGGUANCUGGUCUGAGAGGAUGAUCAGCCACACGUGGGACUGAGACACGGCCCAGACUCCGUACGGGAGNACGCG
rnacentral:rRNA from 1 species